rnacentral:rRNA from 1 species
CUGGCCUCAGAAAAAUUAAGCCAUAGCAUGUCUAAGUACAGACUUUAAUACGGUGAAACCGCGAAUGGCUCAUUAAAUCAGGUAUGGUUCCUUAGAUCGUAUACACUACAUGGAUAACUGUAGUAAUUCUAGAGCUAAUACAUGCAACUAUGCCCUGACCCGGGAGGGAACGGGUGCAUUUAUUAGAACUCAACCUGUAUGGUCCUCCUGCUGUUUAAUUCUGGUCCUACUCUGGUUAACUUCCCUAAUGAUCAACGGCCUUGUGUCGGCGACGGAUCUUUCAAAUGGCUGCUCUAUCAAUUGUCUAUGGUAGGUGAACCUGCAGAAGGAUCAA